UACGUAGGGUGCGAGCGUUAAUCGGAAUUACUGGGCGUAAAGCGCGUGUAGGCGGCUAAGUAAGUCGGGCGUGAAAUCCCACGGCUCAACCGUGGAAGUGCACUCGAAACUGCAUAGCUAGAGUCCUGGAGAGGAAGGUGGAAUGCUUGGUGUAGAGGUGAAAUUCGUAGAUAUCAAGCGGAACACCGGUGGCGAAGGCGGCCUUCUGGACAGUGACUGACGCUGAGACGGCGAAAGCGUGGGGAGCAAACAGG
rnacentral:rRNA from 1 species